GAUGAAGCAUGAGAAGGGCGUCUGGUGGAUGCCUUGGCGCAUGGAGGCGAUGAAGGACGUGCUAGGCUGCGAUAAGCCUGGGGGAGCUGCCAAGAAGCUUUGAUCCCGGGAUGUCCGAAUGGGGGAACCCCCCGCUUAUGCGGGAUCCCGGCCUGAAUCCAUAGGGUCGGGAGGCGAACCCGGGGAAUUGAAACAUCUCAGUACCCGGAGGAAAGGAAAUCGAAGAGACUCCGUUAGUAGUGGCGAGCGAACGCGGACCAGGCCAGUGGCUGUCGAGUAUCAAGCGGAACCGGAUGGAAAGCCGGGCCUUAGCGGGUGAUAGCCCCGUACGCGUACAGGUGCUCGAUGGUCCUUGAGUAAGGCGGGACACGUGAAAUCCUGCCUGAAGACGGGGCGACCACGCUCCAAGCCUAAGUACUCCCAUGCGACCGAUAGUGAACUAGUACCGUGAGGGAAAGGUGAAAAGCACCCCGAUGAGGGGAGUGAAACAGUCCCUGAAACCGGACGUCUACAAUCAGUCGGAGCGGGCGACCGCGACGGCGUACCUUUUGUAUAAUGGGUCAGCGACUUAAUCUGGCAUGCGAGCUUAAGCCGGUAGGCGUAGGCGCAGCGAAAGCGAGUCUUAACUGGGCGCUUCUAGUAUGUCGGAUUAGACCCGAAGCCGGGUGAUCUAGCCAUGGGCAGGCUGAAGGUGGGGUAACACCCACUGGAGGGCCGAACCCGAGAACGUUGAAAAGUUCCGGGAUGACCUGUGGCUAGGGGUGAAAGGCCAAUCAAACUCGGCAAUAGCUGGUUCUCCGCGAAAGCUAUUUAGGUAGCGCGUCGUGUCUCACCUUCGGGGGUAGAGCACUGGAUGGGCUAGGGGGCCGCGAGGCUUACCAAACCUAACCAAACUCCGAAUACCGAAGAGUGCAAUCACGGCAGACAGACCAUGGGUGCUAAGGUCCGUGGUCAAGAGGGAAACAGCCCAGACCACCAGCUAAGGUCCCCAAGUUACGGCUAAGUGGGAAAGGAUGUGGGAAGGCCAAGACAACCAGGACGUUGGCUUAGAAGCAGCCAUCGUUUAAAGAAAGCGUAAUAGCUCACUGGUCUAAAUAAGCCGUCCUGCGCCGAAGAUGUACCGGGGCUCAAGCCGUACACCGAAGCUGUGGACUUCCUUCGGGAAGUGGUAGCGGAGCGUUCCGUAGGCCUGUGAAGGGUGACCCGCGAGGGCACCUGGAGGUAUCGGAAGUGAGAAUGCUGACAUGAGUAGCGAUAAAGAGUGUGAGAAACACUCUCGCCGAAAGUCCAAGGGUUCCUGCGCAAGGCUAAUCCGCGCAGGGUGAGCCGGCCCCUAAGCCGAGGCCGAAAGGCGUAGGCGAUGGGAAUGGGGUUAAUACUCCCCAGCCUCCCGGGAUGUGACGGAUGGCAGGUGUCGUUCCCGCUUAUCGGAUUGCGGGGGCGGCUGAGCCGUUCCAGGAAAUAGCCCCGGGGUUAGACCGUACCCGAAACCGACACAGGUGGACUGGUAGAAGAUACCAAGGCGCUUGAGAGAACUGCGUUGAAGGAACUCGGCAAAAUACUCCCGUAAGUUCGCGAGAAGGGAGCCCUUGCCUCGGGCAACCGGGGUGAGGGGGCACAGAAAUGAGGGUGGCGACUGUUUACUAAAAACACAGGGCUCUGCGAAGCCGUUAAGGCGACGUAUAGGGUCUGACGCCUGCCCGGUGCCGGAAGGUUAAGAGGAGGUGUGCAAGCGCCGAAUUGAAGCCCCGGUAAACGGCGGCCGUAACUAUAACGGUCCUAAGGUAGCGAAAUUCCUUGUCGGGUAAGUUCCGACCUGCACGAAUGGCGUAACGACUGCCCUACUGUCUCCAACGCAGACUCAGCGAAAUUGAACUCUCCGUGAAGAUGCGGAGUUCCCGCGGUCAGACGGAAAGACCCCGUGAACCUUUACUACAGCUUCGCAGUGGCAACAGGAAUGUCUUGUGUAGGAUAGGUGGGAGGCAUCGAAGCGAUGACGCCAGUCGUCGUGGAGCCAUCCUUGAAAUACCACCCUUGACCUUCUUGUUGUCUAACCGCGCUCCGUGAAGCCGGAGCCGGGACCCUGCGUGGUGGGUAGUUUGACUGGGGCGGUCGCCUCCCAAAGUGUAACGGAGGCGCGCGAUGGUAGGCUCAAGCCGGUCGGAAAUCGGCUGUUGAGUGCAAUGGCACAAGCCUGCCUGACUGCGAGGCCGACGGGCCGAGCAGAGACGAAAGUCGGUCAUAGUGAUCCGGUGGUCCCGAGUGGAAGGGCCAUCGCUCAACGGAUAAAAGGUACUCCGGGGAUAACAGGCUGAUACCCCCCAAGAGUCCACAUCGACGGGGGUGUUUGGCACCUCGAUGUCGGCUCAUCUCAUCCUGGGGCUGGAGCAGGUCCCAAGGGUAUGGCUGUUCGCCAUUUAAAGAGGUACGUGAGCUGGGUUUAGAACGUCGUGAGACAGUUCGGUCCCUAUCUGCCGUGGGUGUACGAGACUUGAGAGGCGCUGUCCCUAGUACGAGAGGACCGGGAUGGACGCACCUCUGGUGGACCGGUUGUCGCGCCAGCGGCACAGCCGGGUAGCUAUGUGCGGACGGGAUAACCGCUGAAGGCAUCUAAGCGGGAAGCCCUCCUCAAAACCAGGUCUCGCCUGAGAGCCGUGGUAGACCACCACGUUGAUAGGCCGGGGGUCUAAGCGCAGCAAUGCGUUGAGCUUACCGGUACUAAUCCCUCGAAAGGCUUCAUCCU
rnacentral:rRNA from 1 species